AAACAAGGCUAACUUUCAAGAAUGUCAUGUAGCUAGGCCGGCCAUCUAGGUAUAUGGAACAAAAUCCCCUCAGCAUAAAUCCACAGUAGGAAUGUAGGAUAUUAGAGAUGCAAUUAAGCCUAGCAUGAGCAAUAAGAACCACUCAGGCUAGCCAAGGAGACUGCCCAUGAACCAGCUUAAAGGAUCAUUAAAUUGCUAAUCCUUCAGGGAGGACACAGGCAAGUCAUCCUUGGCUAUCAGAGAUAAGUCCUUACUGCCAUCCAUGUAAGGCUGCUUCUCUCUUUUGCUUCAUCUAGUGUUGGUUACCUUAGCAGCUUAGCUUGAAUGGUCUGUACUGCAUUGGAUUGUUGCUUCCAUUCAACAUCUAUUUAUAUAUACC
rnacentral:precursor_RNA from 1 species